CCCUUAGAUGUUCUGGGCCGCACGCGCGCUACACUGACUACUUCAACGAGUUGUUUCCUUGAUCGAAAGGUCUGGGUAAUCUUUGAAAGGUAGUCGUGAUGGGGAUAGAUCCUUGCAAUUUUUGAUCUUCAACGAGGAAUUCCUAGUAAACGCAAGUCAUCAGCCUGCAUUGAUUACGUCCCUGCCCUUUGUACACACCGCCCGUCGCACCUACCGAUUGAAUGGUCCGGUGAAUCUUUAGGACUGUGGCUGAGGCCUUGCCUUGUGCGGGUCUGGCCGUGGGAAUUUAGUUAAACCUUACCAUUUAGAGGAAGGUGAAGUCGUAACA
rnacentral:rRNA from 1 species